CAGCCGCCGCGGUAAUACGAAGGGUGCAAGCGUUAAUCGGAAUUACUGGGCGUAAAGCGUGCGUAGGCGGUGAGUUAAGUCUGCUGUGAAAUCCCCGGGCUCAACCUGGGAAUGGCAGUGGAUACUGGCUCGCUAGAGUGUGUCAGAGGGUGGUGUAAUUCCCGGUGUAGCAGUGAAAUGCGUAGAGAUCGGAAGGAACAUCUGUGGCGAAGGCGACUAUCUGGGCCAACACUGACACUGAGGCACGAAAGCGUGGGGAGCAAACAGGAUUAGAUACCCCGGUAGUCCCUGUCUCUUAUAC
rnacentral:rRNA from 1 species